rnacentral:lncRNA from 10 species
GGCUCCCAGACAGCGGGCGAUCUGCCAGAGCCGGCCCGACGCCAUCAUCGUCAUAGGAGAAGGCUCACAAAUGGGCCUGGACGAGUGUCAGUUUCAGUUCCGCAAUGGCCGCUGGAACUGCUCUGCACUGGGAGAGCGCACCGUCUUCGGGAAGGAGCUCAAAGUGGGUGACUGCCUGGGCUGAGGGUCCCAUGUCUGGGGAUCCCCACACUCUGCAAAAAGGACUCCAUCAUUUUACCCAUCUAGGGCUGUGAGAGUGCAACACAUGUCUGGUGAGCUGGUGAAUGCUUAGAAGGAUGGAUUUGAAGACCUUUCCAGUGAGAGAGACAGAAGCAAGGGGCGGGCCAGCUCCAUUUUCUCUCUGCCAUUUCUUAACAAUACGCCAUCUUGCCCAAGCAAAA